GAUGAACUACCAUCCUGGUUUGCCUGGGACUGAGGGGUUUUCUGGGACACAGGACUUUUGGAGCCAAAACCUAGAUUAGUUGGUCACCCUAUC
rnacentral:miRNA from 1 species